ACGGCUCAGUAACACGUGGACAACCUACCCAAGAGUCAGGGAUAACCCCGGGAAACUGGGGAUAAUACCUGAUAGGCCACGACAUCUGGAAUCGAGUCGUGGUUUAAACGCAAGGCUCUUGGAUGGGUCUGCGGCGGAUUAGGUUGUUGCCGGUGUAACGUACCAGCAAGCCUGUAAUCCGUACGGGUUGUGGGAGCAAGAGCCCGGAGAUGGAUUCUGAGACACGAAUCCAGGCCCUAUGGGGCGCAGCAGGCGCGAAAACUCUACAAUGCAGGCAACUGCGAUAGGGGAACAUCGAGUGGCACCCACCAUGGGUGUCUGUCCAGCCGUCUAAAAAACGGCUGUUAGCAAGGGCCGGGCAAGACCGGUGCCAGCCGCCGCGGUAAUACCGGCGGCUCGAGUGGUGGCCGAUAUUAUUGAGUCUAAAGGGUCCGUAGCCGGCUUUGCAAGUCCCCUGGGAAAUCCAGCGGCUUAACCGUUGGGCUUUCAUGGGAUACUACAUUGCUUGGGACUGGGAGAGGUAGGAGGUACUCAGGGGGUAGGGGUGAAAUCCUGUAAUCCUCUGGGGACCACCGGUGGCGAAGGCGUCCUACCAGAACAGGUCCGACGGUGAGGGACGAAAGCUAGGGGCACGAACCGGAUUAGAUACCCGGGUAGUCCUAGCCGUAAACGAUGCUCGCUAGGUGUCACGGCAGUCGUGAAUUGUCGUGGUGCCGUAGGGAAGCCGUGAAGCGAGCCACUUGGGAAGUACGACCGCAAGGUUGAAACUUAAAGGAAUUGGCGGGGGAGCAC
rnacentral:rRNA from 1 species